UUCGAUACAUGAUUUGGCUUAUUUCCACAGCUGAUGUCUACAAUGUCAAGAAAAAGAAACACAACUUGCAAGUUAACAUGUAUUGUGACUGAUAACUUUGAUAACCCAUUUUCUGAAACACUUCCAUAAAUCAAAACUGCAGAGAUAAAGAUGAUGAAAGUCUUAGAGCAUUACCUGAUUUUGACAAGCUUUGGGGGAGUCACAGUAAAACUGAUCUAUGAUUAUGGGAUUUGCUACAUCUUCCAUCCUUACGUUUUGGAAACGGACCCCACGAACAUAACCAGAACCUCCCUAUACAAAAACACCCCCAAGUGAAAAAAAAAAAAAAAGAAAGAAGGGAAAGUGUUCAUUAUAACAGCACUGUCUAUGUCAUCAUAAGAAAAAAAUCAUAUUAAUAGUAGAUUCAAAACCUGCCAAGUCUUAAUGCGGAGGCCAUUGGUAGUCUCCUUGAGGUAUGCUGUAUCCAAGACAAUUUUUGUCACUAUGCCGCUGGAGUUGUCCUUCCCUAGACUUCCGAUGCUGGUAACCCAAAUUUAUAACAACAAAUACAAUGAAAACAAAAUUAGAGUUCCAAUUAUCAUCACUUCUGGAUUGUCAUAGGACUCUUUUAUAGAGUUAAUGUACAAUCAAGGUAGAGAGUACCUGACUCCAUGUCCUGGUCCGCAAAAGAUUCUCUUCAUCUUAAUAUUUGAUGUAGCAUUGACAAUUGAGAUGCAGUCAUCUCCUGCAUAUCAUAUUCAGAAUCAACAUGAAACAAAAUGGAUCAGUGCUUUCAAUUUUGUUAUGGAUGCCAUGUGGUUGUGUACCUUUCAAUUGCAGCAUAUGUGGGCUUUAUUCAAAGUUAAUAGCUUAAUGUUCAAAUGUUUUCUUUCGGUUCUUUGCAUGUUAGCAGAUCUUGCAAGAUGCUUUUUAUAUUCUGAAUAGCCAUUUAUUUCAUUCCAGUUCCUCCUUUUAAGCUAUGAAAAGAGAUAAGAAAUAAUGAUUCACCUGUUCCAAUUUUGCAGUCUUGGAGAACCACAUUAGUAGAUGCAGUGAUAUGGAUUCCAUCAGUGUUAGGACUGUCUCCUGGAGCCGAGACUUGGACUGCAUAAACUCGUACGGAGUCACUCUGAGAGAUAGUAAAAUGCAUUUGUUGGCUGUUCUGGAUGGAUGAAGCCCACCAUUUACUGCCUGAUCCAUCAAUAACUCCAUGCCCUUGGAAAAGUACUCCAUUCAAUUUAUAGAAGUCAAGCCAUGUUCGUGGAAAUUUUGGAUCCCAGUUGUUAGGAUCAUCCGGUGCUACGAUUGUUCCCUCAAUCUGUUGUACCACAGUAAGACAGUAUGAUAUUAUCAUCGAUGGUAAUAUGCAUCAUAACUGCUAUGAAUUGUUCAAAACAGAUCCACAGAAGGUGAAUGUUAAUUGAGACAUGGAAAUUGUAUUACAAAUUACCUGGAUGACUAAGCCAUCUGCACAUGGCCCUUCAAAUCUUGUUGCAUUUACUAGAUAGCGGCGUCCUUGGGGUACCAGGAAAACAGCUUUUGUUGUAUUGCAUGCAAUAUCCCAAGCUUUUACAAAAGCCUAAUAUCAAGGGCAUUUCAGAAGAAUAUUUGUCAAAAAUCGCUGUGACGGAAACUAGUUCAAGUAAAGGAUUUAUUUUGCAGUCUAAAAUUGGCAAGUCAAAACAUGUGUGAAGCUCUUAUGGUUCAUUUUCUUUUUCCAUCAAACUACUGCUGAAUGCUGAUCACAACAUAUUGGAUAAGAUUCUAUCAGUUUAAUGGAAUCAAAAACCACUUCGCCAUGUGGAGCCUCUGAAUACUAGCAAGAAUUUAGUAAUACAAUAUACCUCAACCGAAUGAAGUGCUUGCAAAUGACAUGAAAUGUAAAAACUAACGGUUUAUAUAAUAUGCUCACCUGAGUAUCAUCAGAAACUCCAUCUCCAGUAGUACCAAAGCUAUCCACAUUAACAAGAACCUUGCUACCACGUUCACUUGUCCAUGACGGAAUCUCAAAGAUGUCCACCUCAUUGUCUUCUUCUAUGUCAAAGCUUUCAAGCUCAUCAAGAAUGCCAAUGUCAUCAUAAACAAUGUUUCCUGCAACUCCAUAAACUGCUAUCAGCAUACCAAGAAAAGAAA